UCUAACCGUGCAAAGGUAGCGCAAUCACUCGUCUUUUAAAUGAAGACUGGUAUGAACGGCAUCACGAGGGCUUAGCUGUCUCCCCUCUAAAGUCAAUGAAAUUGAUCCCCCCGUGCAGAAGCGGGGAUACACUCGUAGGACGAGAAGACCCUAUGAAGCUUAAGAUUUUAAGUAACCCACGUCAAUCGCCCGACCCAGGCCAGCAAACAAAAGGGGCCUUACUGACAUAUCUUCGGUUGGGGCGACCACGGGGAAAAACAAAACCCCCACAUGGAGUAGGGCUACACUAGCCCUAAAACAUAGACCCACCGGUCAAAUCAACAGCACUUCUGACCACCAGACCCGGCACAAGCCGCUCAAUGAAUCAAGUUACCCUAGGGAUAACAGCGCAAUCCCCUCCGAGAGUCCUUAUCGACGAGGGGGUUUACGACCUCGAUGUUGGAUCAGGAUGUCCUGAUGGUGCAGCCGCUGUCGAGGGUUCGUUUGUUCAACGAUUAAAAUCCUACGUGAUCUGAG
rnacentral:rRNA from 1 species